rnacentral:lncRNA from 1 species
AAAUUUCAACAAUUCUAUAGCGGGGGGACCAUACACAGGGGCUCACUGUAGAAAACCUUUUGAUCCCUGGGUCAUCACUAGGAGGAAUAUGAGCAAUAGCCAAACCAAAUGAAUUACAGAAGCUAAACCCAACGCGUGUUUAUAAGCAGUUCCAAGCACAAACAAAAUGGGAUUUCCAAGCUACAAGUACAUUACUGAAUCAUGAAGCUAUCACAAACAGGUAGAGCUUCUUCCUAUACCAAGACCCAAUCGGUAAAGUUGCUGCAUCCAGGUUUUUUUUUAAAAAAAUUGCACAAAUUCUGAGAUGUAGAUGUGAUUUGGUUUUUAUUUAUCUUCAUUGUGAGCAAUCAUGGCUUUGUUUUACAGCUAUAGCUUUGGAUCGGUUCAUAGA